AUACGGAGGAUGCAAGCGUUAUCCGGAUUUAUUGGGUUUAAAGGGUGCGUAGGCGGAUGAUUAAGCGUGAGGUGAAAUGCCACUGCUCAACAGUGGAACUGCCUCGCGAACUGGUUGUCUUGAAUGCUCCUGCCGUGGGAGGAAUGUGUGGUGUAGCGGUGAAAUGCAUAGAGAUCACACAGAACACCGAUUGCGAAGGCAGCUCACGAAGGGGUGAUUGACGCUGAGGCACGAAAGCGUGGGGAUCAAACAGGAUUAGAUACCCUGGUAGUCCACGCAGUAAACGAUGAUAACUAACCGCUGGGUCGUAGUGAUUCAGUGGCCAAGCGAAAGCGAUAAGUUAUCCACCUGGGGAGUACGGCCGCAAGGUUGAAACUCAAAGGAAUUGGCGGGG
rnacentral:rRNA from 1 species